GGCGCCGGGUUGGCCAUCGCUCGCACGUACCUGCGUGGCCCGCGCUGGCUGGAGCUGUCGUUGCUGGUGUACGGCGCCAUCGUCGUCCUGGACGCCCGUCGCAAGACGGUAAGGGUGAAACGGUGCGGUAAGAGCGCACCAGCAUUCCGGGUGACCGGAGUGGCUAGGUAAACCCCACCCGAAGCAAGGCCAAGAAGGCCGCGACCUGGUUGCGGCUGCGCAGGUGUUCGAGGGCUGCUCGCCCGAGCCUGCGGGUAGGCCGCUUGAGGUACCCGGCAACGGUGUGCCCAGAUGGAUGGUCGCCGCCCCGUCGCCAGUGAUGGUGGUGGGGAACAGAAUCCGGCUUAGAGGCCAGCUCGUCCG
rnacentral:RNase_P_RNA from 1 species